rnacentral:lncRNA from 1 species
GCUUGACCUUGUCUAUCAAAUCUGGCAGACAUUCAACAGUGUUUUUUCUCACAACAAAUCAUUGAACAGUACUUUCAGCCAUGCCUUAUCAGUUGUUUGCUCAGCAUGCAUGUACAUAUAGCUUGUUGAAUUGACCUGAUUUCUUGUUAUCGCCGUAUGCUAGUUGAGUUAAUAAUCUCAUCAACGAUAGUACGCUCUUAAGCAGACAUCCUGGUGCAUACAUCGUUUAGAGCCAAUAAAACAUACCCC